AACGUAGGACGCAAGCGUUAUCCGGAGUUACUGGGCGUAAAGCGCGAGCAGGCGGCUUCUUAAGUCUGAUGUGAAAGCGCCCGGCUCAACCGGGCGAGGCCAUUGGAAACUAGGGAGCUGGAGGGCAGUAGAGGCAGGCGGAAUUCCGGGUGGAGUGGUGAAAUGCGCAGAUAUCAGGAAGAACACCCGUGGCUAAGGCGGCUCUCUAGUACGGUACUGACGCUGAGACGCGAAAGCGUGGGGAGCGAACAGG
rnacentral:rRNA from 1 species